rnacentral:lncRNA from 1 species
CGGCCCCCAGGCUCUCGUCGUUUAUCACAGCGCAAUCUUCAGAUUGCGAUCACUCUGGCGUGCAAUCGUCCCCCAACAUAUCGUCGUUUAUUGUCGCCCAAUCGUCGGAUGCCGGCCACUGCACUGCAAGGAACACGUCGUCAACCAUCACACUCGUCUAUCCUCAGGGGAAUAUUCUGUUCGCCCGCCUGUGAAGCGAAGUCUGGAGUAUUUGGGUGAUUACUUCUUACAAGCAAACAUGCGCUUGGAAAAUUGUGAGCUAAGUUCGUCCGCAAUCCAGCUAUUUAUGAAAAAUAUUUGGCAUUUAUCAAGGAGUAGCCACAAGUGCAAAUAUUUCUUGCCGCAUCACUGCGUCAUCAAAGAGAACAGCUCCACAACAAAGCUGAGAGUCGUAUUUGAUACCACAUAUAUACCACAUCUGGUCUCUCGAUAAACGAUUUGUUUAUGUCAGGUCCCACAAUUCAAGCCAAGCAUUUUCACACCCUUAUCCGUCUUCUUGUAUUUCCUAUUGCUCUUACAGGGUAUAUCGGAAAAAUGUAUAGGUGUGUGCGUGUUUCAGUGCUCCAUGCUCCAAUGCAUAUUUUGGAGGAUCUCUGCCAUACAACAACUUACUAGGGGCAUGGAUUGGCGCUAUGUGCCGAAUGAGAUGAGCCUGGCUGACAUUCUGUCAAAGGGAGCAGCACCUCAGGAGCUCUUUCAGUCGAGUUUGUGGAUGAAUGGACCAUCCUGCUUGCAAGACGAAAGAAGCCUAAAAGGUGCUCGUC